rnacentral:rRNA from 1 species
UUUCGGGUCCAAACAGGCACACUCAAUCUCAACCUCCGUAGAGGCCGGACGGUGUUGGGCAUUCAGUUGUGUGCACACCAUUGGGCUUGCGCCCUCCCUUUCAGUACGAGAGAUGGUACUUGUGUAAAAUCCUCUCCCUUGCGCGUCUGUUUGACUCCUUGGUCCGUGUUCAAGACGGGUGGAGGCACCCCAUUUCCAGCGUCAAGUUUUGAGCAUCACAGGAAAGAUGCAGCUCGCGAAACUGAGGGGUUUUUAAUCCACACUGCUCCGGCUUCUACACCUUUAUUCCCGCUCGCUUUACCGGAACCCCUAUUCUGCACUUGUUGCCCAUGAAGUCUUCACAAGUCUACACAGGAUAAUGCUUAGGUGGUCGGCCUUGACCGAAAAUGAAAUGGAGGUACGUCCCUUGUCGUUGUCACGACUUCAGGUUCUAUGUCACUCUCUUUCCAAAGUGCUUUUCAAACUUUCGCUCACGCUACUUGUUCGCUAUCGGUCUUCCUA